GAUGAAGAACGUAGCGAAUUGCGAUAAGUAAUGUGAAUUGCAGAUUUUCAGUGAAUCAUCGAAUCUUUGAACGCACAUUGCGCCCGCCAGUAUUCUGGCGGGCAUGCCUGUUCGAGCGUCAUUUCAACCAUCAAGCCCCCGGCUUGUGUUGGGGACCUGCGGCUGCCGCAGGCCCUUAAAAGCAGUGGCGGGCUCGCUGUCACACCGAGCGUAGUAGCAUACAUCUCGCUCUGGGCGUGCUGCGGGUUCCGGCCGUUAAACCACCUUCAUAACCCAAGGUUGACCUCGGAUCAGGUAGGAAGACCCGCUGAACUUAAGCAUAUCAAUAAGCGGAGGA
rnacentral:misc_RNA from 1 species